rnacentral:misc_RNA from 1 species
GAUGAAGAACGUAGUGAAAUGCGAUACGUAAUGUGAAUUGCAGAAUUCAGUGAAUCAUCGAAUCUUUGAACGCACAUUGCGCCCCUUGGUAUCCCGAGGGGCAUGCCUGUUCGAGCGUCAUUUCACCACUCAAGCCUGGCUUGGUGUUGGGCGACGUCCUCUUUGGGGACGCGCCUCGAAACGCUCGGCGGCGUGGCACCGGCUUUAAGCGUAGCAGAAUCUUUCGCUUUGGAAGUCGGGGCCCCGUCUGCCGGAAGACCUGCUCGCAAGGUUGACCUCGGAUCAGGCAGGGAUACCCGCUGAACUUAAGCAUAUCAAUAAGCGGAGGA